AGUCGAGCGGUAGCACAGAGAAGCUUGCUUCUUGGGUGACGAGCGGCGGACGGGUGAGUAACGCGUAGGAAUCUACCUAAUGGUGGGGGAUAGCCCAGGGAAACUUGGAUUAAUACCGCAUAAGUCCUAAGGGAGAAAGCGGGGGGUCUUCGGACCUCGUGCCAUCAGAUGAGCCUGCGUAAGAUUAGCUAGUUGGUGAGGUAAGAGCUCACCAAGGCGACGAUCUUUAGCUGGUCUGAGAGGAUGAUCAGCCACACUGGGACUGAGACACGGCCCAGACUCCUACGGGAGGCAGCAGUGGGGAAUAUUGGACAAUGGGGGCAACCCUGAUCCAGCCAUGCCGCGUGUGUGAAGAAGGCCUUCGGGUUGUAAAGCACUUUCAGAUGUGAGGAAAGGUUACAGAUUAAUACUCUGCAGCUGUGACGUUAACAUCAGAAGAAGGACCGGCUAACUCCGUGCCAGCAGCCGCGGUAAUACGGAGGGUCCGAGCGUUAAUCGGAAUUACUGGGCGUAAAGCGCGCGUAGGUGGUUUCGUCAGUCAGAUGUGAAAGCCCAGGGCUCAACCUUGGAAUUGCACCUGAUACUGCGGGACUAGAGUACGAUA
rnacentral:rRNA from 1 species